rnacentral:misc_RNA from 1 species
GAUGAAGAACGUAGCGAAAUGCGAUAAGUAAUGUGAAUUGCAGAAUUCAGUGAAUCAUCGAAUCUUUGAACGCACCUUGCGCCCUUUGGCCAUUCCGAAGGGCAUGCCUGUUUGAGUAUCAUGAACACCUCAACUCUCAUGGCUUGCCAUGAUGAGCUUGGACUUUGGGGGUCUUGCUGGCCUGUGGUCAGCUCCUCUCAAAUGAAUUAGCUUUCCAGUGUUUGGUUGGCAUCACAGGUGUGAUAACUAUCUACGCUUGUGGUUUCCACCAGGUAACCUUCAGUAACAUGGGGGUUUGCUGGAGCUCAUAAAUGUCUCUCCUCAGUGGGGACAGCUCUUUGAACAUUUGAUCUCAAAUCAGGUAGGACUACCCGCUGAACUUAAGCAUAUCAAUAAGCGGAGGA